rfam:Myotis brandtii contig272046, whole genome shotgun sequence.
GGCAGUUCUCAGGUGACGCACUCCAGAAUCGGGCUCCCUCCUCUCUGGUUCCAGUAUGUCACCCAAGAACUGCC